CUGGUGGAUUUAUCGAUGUUGUUUCUAGCCUUGUAAAAGAAUUGAAGAUGGGAUUGGGGCAUCAGGAUUUCAUGGCUUAUGCCGGUUUUGCUACAACAUCGAUGCUACCUGGUGAAAUGGUGCCGAACCAUAAAAUUGUUUCUGCCAUUGAUAGCUGAUCUUCAUUCUCCUACUGCAACUUGUAGCCAUGACUAGGGAGGGAGGGCCUAGAGCCAAAAGGCCCCGGCAAAUUCUGGCAACUAGGGUGGCCUAGAUAUAAACUUUUUUACAAAAUGAUUACAGCGUUCAGGUAGAGACAGAUGCAGUACUUGAACUUUUCAAGGGGCAAAGAGUGUUCACCAUGGCUAAAAUCUGGCCCCAAGACCAAGAAACCAAGGAACCUGAGCCUCUGCAGGCGGCUGCAGCUUGAGAAAUCUGACCAGAAGGACAUGCUUUUGCAUGGCAGAAUCUGUGUGUCCUUAAAGAUUGUCAAAGUCGUGGAUUUUAUGUCGGGCAUGUGCUUUGUGAUUUCGCCAUUGAAGGGGAGUCCUUGAUGUGGGAAAAUGAUCAUAAACAAACUUCCAACCAAAAACAAAGAUGAUUCCAUUUGUAUUUGAAUGGUUUAAGAUUCAGGAUAUAGCAGUUAAUGAUGAAUCUUUCAUCUUUGUUUUUCUUACCAGUUCUGCAAUCAAACACUCAAAACUUUUGUAUGGCAUGAGUAGGAGAGAGAAAAAUAAAUUUUUUUCCUUGAAUUUGAAGUUACCUUCCUCAUUUCAACAUCAAAGAUUGAAACUGAGUGAAGAACGUCUGCUGGUUGACUCCAUCCACAUUCAA